UUAGGCGGAGCAGGCAUAAGUUUUGUUGGAGAUUCUGGAACCUGCCACUCUCCUCCUGCGGCUGCCUGCAGCAGGGGGUGACGUCAGCCUGGUGGUGGGACAGGGCAGGAGAGGACCAUGAAAAAGGGAUGGAGGCCUCAGGGUAGAGUCUCUCAAGCCAUGUUUGCUUAGAAAUAUCAUCUUUUUACUUCUGGAAGUCUUUUCCUGUGGAAAAUUUUUGUUCAUGGCUGCCAAAUCAGAGUUUUAGCAGUCCAGCUGGGUUGCUGUGUCUGCAGGUGUGUUUCUGUCUGAAACAAUACAAUUGCACUUGGGCAAGUGAUUUGGAGGGAGACGGUGUGAGUUAUCUCCUCACAGAAGCCUGGGGAGACCCAGAGACAGGGCUAGUGCUGAUGUGCGAGGUGAUGCUCCCAGCAACUGCAUCUUUCGCGUGCUUUCCCUGGCAUCGUGUUUGACUUCCUUCAAGGUGGAGCAGCCCUGCUGAAGAUGAAGAGAGCCUGGACAUUGUGGUGGUGGUUGGUGGCAUCUCCUGCACGUCCCUGCUGAAGCUGGCACAUCGACAUGAGAAUGUCUUUGCAGUUCCUGGCAGGCUGUGGCCUCAGAGGUAGGGAUUGCCCCGAGUCCACCCUGCCUGGCUCAUCCGGCUGUCCCUGAGGAAGGUCAGGUGCCACAGAGGGAGCUGCAGGGAUGACAGCCCUCUCAGGGUAUGAACAACUGUCACCAAAGCCAGCGAAGGAGACAUGAAAGUUGACAUCGUUGGAUGCAGUUGGCUGAGUUAAAGGCUUGCCAGAGUACUUACCUGCACGAUUUUAUGCACCUGAUUUAACCAGCAAAGUUCUACCCCAUUUAGUUGGGCCACUUGUGCACUCACUGGAAGACUCCUCAUGUGCUGCCACUUAAUUAGGACUGCUCUCCAUUGCCGGUUAAAGCCAAUGGACACACUUCCAGUGACACAGAAGAGACCUAAACCAUGUCCCAGUCAUGCAUUCUUAUCUCCUUGCACGGAUGGCUACCUGCUGUCCCACGUGUAUAUUUCAAUUCAAACAUUUGUAAAAACUUUUUUGGUUUCUCACAAAGGUACAACCAGUGGAUAUCUACUUUA